rnacentral:lncRNA from 10 species
AAGCUACUUGGGAGGCUGAGGCAGGGGAAUCACUUGAACCCAGGAGGCAGAGAUUGCAGUGAGCCAAGAUCAUGCCACUGCACUCCAGCCUGGGCGACAGAGAAAGACUCCAUCUCAAAACAACAACAACAACAACAAAUUGGCCAGGCACGGUGGCUCAUGCCUGUAAUCCCAGCACUUUGGGAGGCUAAGGCAGGUGGAUCACCUGAGGCCAGGAGUUCAAGACCAGCCUGGCCAACAUGGCGAAACCCCGUCUCUAUUAAAAAAUACAAAAAAUUGCCAGGCGCGGUGGCUCACGCCUGUAAUCCCAACACUUUGGGAGGCUGAGGCGGGCAGAUCACGAAGUCAGGAGAUAGAGACCAUCCUGGCUAACACGGUGAAACCCUGUCUCUACUAAAAAUACAAAAAAUUAGCCAGACGUGGUGGUAGGCUCCUGUAAUCCCAGCUACUUGGUAGGCUGAGAUAGGAGAAUCGCUUGAAACCAGGAAGUGGAGGUUGCAGUGAGCCGAGAUUGCACCACUACACUUCAGCGUGGGUGACAGAGAGAGACUCUGUCUCAAAAAAAAAAAAAACAAAAAAAAAUCACUGCUGUUAGAGAAGAGAAUUCUGGUAAAUGGUAAAUGUAGCUUAAUUGACACAGCACAAAACCACUACACUAUUCCUGAUGAUGGGACAGGAAAGGGAGCUGGGUUUUUCUGUGGACAUCAGUUUAUAUAUGUUUAAGUUUUAACCAUGAUAUUUCAUUAACUAUCAAAUGUUUCAAUUUUUUAAAAAAAAUCCAUAAUGUGAUCAAUGAGAUGCAGACAAUAAAACAGUGUUACAGAACAGUGAUGGAGGUGGAAGUGAGGAGAGGUGACUUAGACAUAGGUGGUCAGAAAGUCCUCUCUGAGGAGGUGCCUUUUUUCUGGAGACAGAAUCUUACUAUGGUCCCCGGACUGGAGUGCAGUGCUAUUCACAGGCACAAUUACAGUGCACUGCUGCCUCAAACUCCUGGCCUGUAGCUCUCCGUCCUCCUGUCUCAGCCUCCAAGUAGCUGGGACAACAGGCAUGUGUCAUUGCACCCCACUGGAGGUAACAUUUGAGCAGAGACCUGCUGACAUGGAGCCAGCCUUUUGAGAAUACCUGAGCAGAAAAUGUUACAGGUGGAAGGAAUAGCAAGGGUAGAAGCUUUGUGCAGAAAAAGGUGUCCUGCUCAAGGAACAAGGAAGCCAGCGUGGUUGGAGCAGAGUGAGCGAAGGAGAGAGUAGAAACAGUUGAGGUGGGAGCAAUGUGCAAACCUAGGUCAUAUAGGGUCUCACAGGUCAUAGCAAGGCCUUGCAAAUUUAUAGCAUGUGUGAUGAGAAACCCUGUGGAACAUUUUAAGCCAGGGGGUGGGGAGUAUGUGUGUUUGUGUGUGUGUGUGUGUGUGUGUGUGUGUGUGUGCGUGUGUGUGUGUGUGAUGUGUCUUCCUUCACAGGUUGUUUGUACAGCAGAGCCUUUUCUGGCCACCGCCCUUUUCUCCUCUUUUCCCACAGUGAACCCAUGACUCUCUGGCUGUUUAUUUAUCAUCGAAACUGGGGGGGUCUUUCAGGGCCAGGACCUGCUCUGGUCUACUUUGAUGUCCCCAGCACCCUACUGGGCAUUGACAAAUGUUAACACAUAGUUGAGCAAUUUAAAGCAGAGAAAAAUAUUGAAUUAUUCUGACAUAGCUUUGCAUGAUUUAUAAAGUUCUCUGGAUUUUGCUACCUUAUUACUUUGUAUGUAUUUAUUUAUUUAUUUUUGGGACAGAGGCUUACUCUGUCACCCAGGUUGGAGUGCAGUACUGUGAUCAUAGCUCAUCGCAGCCUCAACCUCCUGGGCUCAAGUAAUCCUCCCGUCUAAGCCUCCCGAGUACCUGGAACCACAGGUGCACCACUGUGCCUGGUUAAUUUUUUUUGUUUUUUUGGUAGAGAUAGGGUCUCACUGUGUGACCCAGCCUGGACUCAAACUCCUGUCUUCAAGCAAUUCUCCUGCCUUAACUUCCCAAGUAGCUGGGACUACUGGCACGUGCCACCACACCGAGCUAAUUUUUAAAUACUUGUAGAGAUAAGGUCUCACUAUGUUGCCCAGGCCGGUCUCUAAUCCUUGGGCUCAAGUGAUCCUCCCACCUUGGCCUCCCAAAUUGCUGGGAUUACAGGUGUGAGCCACUGUGUCUAGCCAGGUUUUGCUGCUUUAAAGUGGACAAUUUUAUCCAAGGUUUCCUUCUUGGCAGUUUUUAUUAAUCCAGAAGUCACCAGCUGGCUGUCCCAACAUGCCGCACUAUAGUCUUUCAUCCUUGGUAACUUCUGGUCCCCAGCACCCAGUCUGAGCUCCUGUGUCAGUGCAAUUCUCUUGAGCUCUCUGGGCCCCAGUAUCCUCACUUCCCAUAGUGGUGAUAUGGUCAGGCUCAGUGGCUCACUCCCAGCACUUUGGGAGGCCAAGGCGGGCAGAUCACUUGAGGUCAGAAGUUCGAGAUCAGCCUGGCCAACAUGGUGAAUACAGUCUCUACUAAAAAUACAAAAAAUAAGGCCAGGCAUGGUGGCUCACACCUGUAAUCUGAGCACUUUGGGAGGCCAAGGUGGGUGGAUCACUAGGUCAGGAGUUCGAGACCAGCCAGGCCAACAUGGCGAAACCCUGUCUCUACUAAAAAUAGAAAAGUUAGCCAGGUGUGAUGGUGCACACCUGUAGUCCCAGCUACUUGGGAGGCUGAGCCAGGAGAAUCAAUUGAACCCGGGAGGCAGAGGUUGCAGUGAGCCGAGAUUGCGCCACUGCACUCCAGCCUGGACAACAAAGUGAGAAUCCGUCUAAAAAAAAAAAAAAACCAAAAAUUAGCCAGGUAUGAUGGCACAGGCCUGUAAUCCCAGCUACUCAGAAGGCUGAGGCACAAGAAUCUCUUGAACCUGGGAGGCAGAGGUUGCAGUGAGCCGCGAUCACACCACUACACCCGGCCUGGGCAACAGAGCAAGACUGUGUCUCAAAAAUAAAAAAAUAAAAUAAAAUAAAAUAAUAAAAUGGGCCAGGCGUGAUGGCUUACUCCUGUAAUUCCAGCACUUUGGGAGGCCAAGGUGGGCAGAUUACCUGAGGUCAGGAGUUUGAGACAAGCCUGGCCAACAUGGCGAAACCCCGUCUCUACUAAAAAUACAAAAGUUAGCCUGGCAUGAUGCACGCCUGUAGUCCCAGCUACUCGGGAGGCUGAGGCAUAAGAAUCAAUUGAACCCUGGAGGUGGAGGUUGCAGUGAGCUGAGAUUGUGCACUCCAGCCUGGGCAACAAAGUGAAACUCCGUCUAAAAAAAAAAAAAAACACCAAAAAUUAGCCAGGUGUGAUGGCACAGGCCUGUAAUCCCAGCUACUUGGAAGGCUGAAGCAUGAGAAUCACUUGAACCCAUGAGGUGGAGGUUGCAGUGAGCCCAGAUCAUGCCACUGCACCCAGCCUGGGCAACAUAGCAAGGCUCUGUCUCAAAAAUAAAAUAAUAAAAUAAUAAAAUGGGGCAGGUGCAAUGGCUCACGCCUGUAAUCCCAGCACUUUGGAGGGCCAAGGUGGGCAGAUCACCUGAGGUCAGGAGUUCAAGACCAGCCUGGCCAACAUGGCAAAAUCCCAUCUCUACUAAAAAUACAAAAAAAAAAAAAAAAAUUAGCCAGGUGUGGCACCCGCCUGUAGUCCCAGCUACUUGGGAGGCUGAGGCAGACUAAUCACUUGAACCUGAGAGGCAGAGGUUGCACUGAGCCAAGGUCACACCACUGCACUCCAGCCUGGGUGACAGAGCGAGAUUCCUUCUUAAAAAUAUAUAAAUAAAUAAAUAAAUAAUAAAAUGGUGAUGAUAAACCCUACCUCUGAGUUCUUGUGAGAAUCAGAUGUGAAAAUGAUUUAUAAAGCACUCCUUCAGCCAGACACAGUGGCACAUACCUGUAGUCCCAGCUACUCCAGAGGCUGAGGCAGGAGGAUCACUUGAGCCCAGGAGUUUGAGUCCAUCCUGGGCAACAUAGCAAGACUCCAUCUCUUAAAAAAACAACUUAAAAACAAAUAAAUAAAGUUCUCCUUUACAUUACAAGAGAAUGACUGACAUUACAUGUCAGUUGCCAGGUGAGAUAAAUCUCAUGUGGUAGCUUGAGGCACUUUUCUAUUAGGUGCUAUAAAGGAAGUAAAGGUUUGUCCAUUCAUUUAUUCAAAAGCAAUCAAUUUUUAGCUUCCAGAGUAUGACCACAGGGACACAGAGAUGAACCAGUGCACCAGGAGCUCCCAGUUCUAUGUAUGUGGCUGGGGGAACACCCACAGGAAGACAACCGCACAUCACACUAGCACGUAAUCUCCCAUCCUUCCUCUUCCUUGUGCCACACUAGCCACAGCUGCUUUUUAGAGCCUUCCUGCACACAGGCUGCAUUGCACCCCUCUGCCCACAGUGACUCUUUUGGAAGAGGGCACUUGACCACAUCCAGGGCACUCAGGGCCAAUAACACUCAAUGGAUCUGUUUUAGGAUGGAAGGAGCAUGAAGAAAGAUUAAAGCAUGUCUAGAAUUGUUGGGGACUUCCUGUCACCUUGAGAGAACCUGAGAACCUGAGAACCUGAGAGUGAAGCUGUCUUUGGCCGUGCCUGCUGCUAUAACAAAAUACCUUAGACAGGGUCAUUUAUAAACAAUAGAAAUUUAUUACUCAGAGUUCUGGUGCCUGAGAAGUCCAAGAUCAAAGCACUGGAAGAUUCAGUGUCUGGUGAGGGCUUGCUCUUUGCUUCCAAAAUGGUGCAUUCUGUCUGAGUCUUCCCAUGGCAGAGGGAGUGGGAGGGAUGAUCAGGUUCCCUCAAGCCCUUUUGUAAGGCCACUGGUCUCUUUCAUGAGGGUAGAGCCCUAAUCACCUCCCAAAGGGCACACCCCUUAAUACCAUCAUUUUGAUGGUUAAGUUCCAACAUAGUCUCCAUGUGUCUUUGGAACCUGUCAGCUGUGGCAGUUGCCCUUCCUAGCCAUGGAAGAGUAAGUAUAUUCUUGUUUAUUGGCAAAGCUGUCACCAUUUCAUUGGUAUCAGAUUCUGACUUGCACAAGUAACAUUCUUCACCAUUAAAAACCUAGAGGCUGCUGGGUUAUUGGGCAAACUUUUCCAAACUAUUGUUCAAAUGUUUCUAGAAAAAAAAAAAAAAGUUUCCAACAUAGGAAUUUUGGGAAGGGGCACCAACAUUCAGUCGAUAGCAGAAGCCAAGUCAAAAUAAGAGGAAAACAGGCUGGGUGCAGUGGCUCAUGCCUGUAAUCCCAGCACUUUGGGAGGCCGAGGCAGGUGGAUCACCUGAGGUCAGGAGUUCGAGACCAGCCUGACCAACAUGGAGAAACCCCGUCUCUACUAAAAAUACAAAAUUAGCCAGGCAUCGGGGUGCAUGCCUCUAAUCCCAGCUAUUCAGGAGGCUGAGGCAGGAGAAUCGUUUGAACCUGGGAGGCAGAAGUUGCAGUGAGCCGAGAUCAUGCCAUUGCACUCCAACCUGGGUGACAAGAGCGAAACUCCAUCUCAAAAAAAAAAGUGGGGGGGGAGGGGGCGAUGAGACCCUAUCUCAAAAUAGAGGAAAACGAGGAAAUGAAGAGGGACUUGUCUAAGUGAUGCAAUUUUGGGCACCUGUAUUUAGCCAUGCCAGAAGCCAUCUGCUCCCCUCCCUGUCCCUCUUGGUCCCCAACCCCACUUUUAGGCCUUUACCACUUGCUUAAUGGAAAGUCACAGCCGCACCCAGGGGCUGCCUCAGAGUGGACUCAGAGGCUUUGGCUUCCCCAGUGACUGCCCAGAUGAGCCAGGUAAUAUAACCCAGAAAUGUGGGGAGUGAACUUUCCUAUGAGUAAACUCUGACCAGCAAGACAGGAUUCAGAAAGGAACUGAGGGGUAAAAUCUCUACUUUACCUCUUCUCAGUAGACUGUUGAGCAUGACCUCCCUGGAGAUGUCGCAUGGGACUAGGUUAUCAGAAUUUGCAAAUACAAAUACUUAUGUUAAAACAUUAUUUGCGUUCAUCUGAAAUUCAAAUUUAAUCAGGCAUCCUUUUUUUGAUCUGGCAGCCCAAACCCAACGACCAUGUUUGCUGAGACUCUGUGGCCAGUUUGGUGACACGCGACCUUGUCUUUGCUUUUCCUCCUGCACUCUGUUCUUUACUCCUCUCUUUCCUUUACUCUUGCUGCCCUGGGAUUGAAUCCCAUAAGAUUAUAGCACGUUAAGCUUGUUCUCUGGCUCUUUUUCUAGAGGGCAAACAAAGAAAGGCAAGCCAAAUCAGGUAGGAUUUCUGUCACUUGCAUCUGAAGAAUCCUUAAAACAAAAAUGUAGCCUCAGUUCCCCCUCCUGUGGGAUAAGGAUGACUAUUUCUGCCCCAUUGACAGCCUUGGAUGGAUGGUGCUAUUGUUUGGAUAUUUGUUCCCUUCAAAUCUCAUGUUGAAAUGUAAUCUGCAGCAUUGGAGGUGGGGCCUGAUUGGGGUGUUUGGGUCAUGGAGGUGGAUCCUUCAUGAAUGGUUUGGUGCCCUCCUUGUAAUGAAUGAGUUAUCGCUCCAAGUUCACAUGAGAUCUGGUUGUUUAAAAGAAUGUGGCACCUCCCCGCUUCCUCUCUCUUGCUCUCAAUCUCACCAUGUGACAUUCCUG